GGUGUUGCUGCUCCUUGACAUGGCUAUGGAUUGUGUAGGUGAAGCUUUGACGAUGGCGUUUUUUAUGAGUUGAUCGAAGAUGUAGAAAGGACAGGGUUCCUCUCUCCUUACCUCUUUAAUAAUUGUAUAGAACAGGACAAGUUGUGAUGAGACUAUUUGUAUGCCAAUUCUUUACCAAAGAAUUUUACAACAGCUUUACCCUGACUUGCUAACACAUGCAGGCUUUCA
rnacentral:misc_RNA from 1 species